rnacentral:rRNA from 1 species
GAUGAACGCUGGCGGCGUGCCUAAUACAUGCAAGUCGAGCGAACAGAUGAGGAGCUUGCUCCUCUGACGUUAGCGGCGGACGGGUGAGUAACACGUGGAUAACCUACCUAUAAGACUGGGAUAACUUCGGGAAACCGGAGCUAAUACCGGAUAAUAUAUUGAACCGCAUGGUUCAAUAGUGAAAGACGGUUUUGCUGUCACUUAUAGAUGGAUCCGCGCCGCAUUAGCUAGUUGGUAAGGUAACGGCUUACCAAGGCAACGAUGCGUAGCCGACCUGAGAGGGUGAUCGGCCACACUGGAACUGAGACACGGUCCAGACUCCUACGGGAGGCAGCAGGAGGGAAUCUUCCGCAAUGGGCGAAAGCCUGACGGAGCAACGCCGCGUGAGUGAUGAAGGUCUUCGGAUCGUAAAACUCUUUUAUUAGGGAAGAACAAAUGUGUAAGUAACUAUGCACGUCUUGACGGUACCUAAUCAGAAAGCCACGGCUAACUACGUG